CAUGUCUAGUAUAGCACUUGUACUGUGAACUGCGAAUGGCUCAUUAAAUCAGUUAUCGUUUAUUUGAUAGUACCUUACUACAUGGAUACCUGUGGUAAUUCUAGAGCUAAUACAUGCUAAAAACCCCGACUUCAGGAAGGGGUGUAUUUAUUAGAUAAAAAACCAACGCCCUUCGGGGCUCCUUGGUGAAUCAUAAUAACUUAACGAAUCGCAUGGCCUUGCGCCGGCGAUGGUUCAUUCAAAUUUCUGCCCUAUCAACUUUCGAUGGUAGGAUAGUGGCCUACCAUGGUGGCAACGGGUAACGGGGAAUUAGGGUUCGAUUCCGGAGAGGGAGCCUGAGAAACGGCUACCACAUCCAAGGAAGGCAGCAGGCGCGCAAAUUACCCAAUCCCGAUACGGGGAGGUAGUGACAAUAAAUACUGAUACGGGGCUCUUUUGGGUCUCGUAAUUGGAAUGAGAACAAUUUAAAUCCCUUAACGAGGAACAAUUGGAGGGCAAGUCUGGUGCCAGCAGCCGCGGUAAUUCCAGCUCCAAUAGCGUAUAUUAAAGUUGUUGCAGUUAAAAAGCUCGUAGUUGAACCUUGGGUCUGGCUGGUCGGUCCGCCUCACCGCGAGUACUGAUCCGGCUGGACCUUUUCCUUCUGGGGAACCUCAUGCCCUUCACUGGCUGUGGGGGGGAACCAGGACUUUUUACUGUGAAAAAAAUUAAAAGUGUUCCAAAGCAAGGCCUUUUGCUCCGAAUAACAUUAAGCAUGGGAAUAAAUAAGAAUAAGGAACGUGGCGGGUUCUAUUUUUGGUUGGGUUUCCAAGGAACCGCCCGUAAUUGAUUAAAAAAGGGAAAAGUCCGGGGGGGCGUCCAGUAUUUCCAGCUUGUCCAAAAGGUGAAAAUUUC
rnacentral:rRNA from 1 species